CCUACGGGAGGCAGCAGUGGGGAAUCUUAGACAAUGGGGGCAACCCUGAUCUAGCCAUGCCGCGUGAGUGAUGAAGGCCUUAGGGUCGUAAAGCUCUUUCGCCUGUGAUGAUAAUGACAGUAGCAGGUAAAGAAACCCCGGCUAACUCCGUGCCAGCAGCCGCGGUAAUACGGAGGGGGUUAGCGUUGUUCGGAAUUACUGGGCGUAAAGCGCACGUAGGCGGAUUAGAAAGUUGGGGGUGAAAUCCCGGGGCUCAACCCCGGAACUGCCUCCAAAACUGCUAGUCUAGAGUUCGAGAGAGGUGAGUGGAAUUCCGAGUGUAGAGGUGAAAUUCGUAGAUAUUCGGAGGAACACCAGUGGCGAAGGCGGCUCACUGGCUCGAUACUGACGCUGAGGUGCGAGAGUGUGGGGAGCAAACAGGAUUAGAUACCCUGGUAGUCCACACCGUAAACGAUGAAUGCCAGUCGUUGGAUAGUAUACUAUUCGGUGACACACCUAACGGAUUAAGCAUUCCGCCUGGGGAGUACGGUCGCAAGAUUAAAACUCAAAGGAAUUGACG
rnacentral:rRNA from 1 species